rnacentral:lncRNA from 1 species
UCCCCGUCCAAUGAAUUCUUGAGACCAAGGGACAGGAUGAGGGCAAAGGAUGUCACACUUGGUGCCUAAGAAACCGGCCUGGAGUGAUGGUCCAGAGUGGCAAAUAAUCACGUUUAAACUUUGAUGGAGAGACGAAACCAGUUACACUUCAGAUGAGUUCUCAAGCUCUGCUGGACUACCCGGGCUGCAUUUUGUGUAAGAUAUGUACGUUCCGGAGGAAACAGUAAACAUGGCCGUGACCUGCUGAGCUCAGAUUUCUUCAUCAAAUAUCCACCAUUCCCCAAGGUAAAAUUCCCCGAAAGUGUUGUAGCUUCAUUGCACCAAUGACAAUAAAAUACGUUUGCUAGCCA